AGUCAAGUAAUUAAGUGCAUGUGGUGGAUGCCUUGGCAGUCAGAGGCGAUGAAAGACGUGAUAGCCUGCGAAAAGCUCCGGGGAGGCGGCAAAUAUCCUUUGAUCCGGAGAUGUCUGAAUGGGGGAACCCACCUACUUUAAGGUAGGUAUUGCAACAUGAAUACAUAGUGUUGCAAGGCGAACGAGGGGAAGUGAAACAUCUCAGUACCCUUAGGAAAAGAAAUCAAUUGAGAUUCCCUCAGUAGCGGCGAGCGAACGGGGAUCAGCCCAUUAAGUUAUGUGUGUUUUAGUGGAACGCUCUGGGAAGUGCGAACGUAGAGGGUGAUAUUCCCGUACACGAAAGGGCACACAUAAUGAUGACGAGUAGGGCGAGGCACGUGAAACCUUGUCUGAAUAUGGGGGGACCAUCCUCCAAGGCUAAAUACUCCUGACUGACCGAUAGUGAACCAGUACCGUGAGGGAAAGGCGAAAAGAACCCCUGUGAGGGGAGUGAAAUAGAUCCUGAAACCGCAUGCAUACAAGCAGUGGGAGCACCUUCGUGGUGUGACUGCGUACCUUUUGUAUAAUGGGUCAGCGACUUAUAUUCAGUAGCAAGGUUAACCGUAUAGGGGAGCCGUAGAGAAAUCGAGUCUUAAUAGGGCGUUUAGUUGCUGGGUAUAGACCCGAAACCAGGCGAUCUAUCCAUGAGCAGGUUGAAGGUUGGGUAACACUAACUGGAGGACCGAACCCACUGUCGUUGAAAAGCCAGGGGAUGACUUGUGGAUAGGGGUGAAAGGCUAAUCAAGCCUGGUGAUAGCUGGUUCUCCCCGAAAGCUAUUUAGGUAGCGCCUCGGACGAAUACCAUAGGGGGUAGAGCACUGUUUCGGCUAGGGGGUCAUCCCGACUUACCAAACCGAUGCAAACUCCGAAUACCUAUGAGUACUAUCCGGGAGACAGACUGCGGGUGCUAACGUCCGUAGUCAAGAGGAAAACAAUCCAGACCGCCAGCUAAGGCCCCAAAAUCAUAGUUAAGUGGGAAACGAUGUGGGAAGGCAUAGACAGCUAGGAGGUUGGCUUAGAAGCAGCCACCCUUUAAAGAAAGCGUAAUAGCUCACUAGUCGAGUCGGCCUGCGCGGAAGAUGUAACGGGGCUAAAACUAUGUGCCGAAGCUGCGGAUGUAUACUUUGUAUACGUGGUAGGGGAGCGUUCUGUAAGCCGAUGAAGGUGUGUUGAGAAGCAUGCUGGAGGUAUCAGAAGUGCGAAUGCUGACGUGAGUAACGACAAAACGGGUGAAAAACCCGUUCGCCGAAAGACCAAGGGUUCCAGUCCAACGUUAAUCGGGGCUGGGUGAGUCGACCCCUAAGGCGAGGCCGAAAGGCGUAGUCGAUGGGAAAAUGGUUAAUAUUCCAUUACUUCUGUGUAAUGCGAUGAGAGGACGGAGAAGGCUAAAUCAGCCUGGCGUUGGUUGUCCAGGUGAAAGGAUG
rnacentral:rRNA from 1 species